GCUGGUUGCUGACCCCACACUCCUCAAGUCCUCUGUCUGCAGGAUACUAGGAUGCUGACCUUUCAUCAUUCCACUGACGUUAUGUGGCCUAAAAUCCUCAGCCUGAAAUGAGUUAAGGAAGGACUGAAGACAAAAGAAACUAUGGGCUGCUCUCUCUUUCCCUUUCUUUCUAUGUCACCAUUUUCACUUAAGUGGUUGGUCGAUACAAGGAAUUAACACUAAUGCUAUGUGCAAAUGGGAUAGGAAGAAAUGGCAGCAUGCAUUAUGCACACCUCUCCUCUGCUCAGACUCAAAUUAUCGAAACUUCAGAGGAAAAAUUUAAACUUUCCUACACCAGAAUCAGCUUGAGAGAAGAACCUAGUUGCCACCCCAGCCAGACACUCCCUUGCACCAUAUUUGCUUGUCUAAUGAUGUACUUGCUUAGAAGUUCCAGGGGCUAAUCUUGAAAUAAACCAGGCAUAGAGAUCCAGUUGUGGAAGUCUCCCCCACCUAGAAAUUGCCUCAAGGUGGUUAAUCUUCAACCCAACCAUUGUCAAAAUGGCCCCAGUUCAUUCUACAGGUGGACAACAACUCAAGAUAGCCAUUGGAGCAAGAUAUGCCGACCUCCACCCUGCACCACUCCCACAUGCUUCCCAUACCAAGUUUCCCUUCCCAACCCCCUUCGCUUAGCCUGAAAAUUUGAGAUGGUUCUUUGAGACCUAAGUCCAGCCAUUCUUCUCAAUGGCUAGCCUUUGAAUAAAACUGCUUUCCUCCAUUCCGAGGGUUCCUGUGGAAGCCACCAGCAC
rnacentral:lncRNA from 1 species